AUGAUUUAUUUCAGGUCAAACUACUCAGAUUCUGUGGAUGUCAGAUCCUCUUCAACCCUAACUUUACAUGAUACAGCCUCCCAGGAACUAAAGCUACCCUGGUAUGGCUUAAGCAUAGGAAGAAACAAUGAAGGAGAAAUGGACUUCUAUUUGAGAAAACAGUUCUACCAUUCGUGUCUCCACCAGAAACAUUUUGGGAUUUUGCUCUGUGGGACUUGGAAGUCUUAUGCAUUAAGUGAAAGCAGAAUUCUGACUUACAGAGAGUGGCAGGAAUCAGAAGAUGUCAAUAAAUGCGGCUUGGCUAUUAGCUUUGCUAGGAGAGUUUUUUGGGGUCUGUUUUUCUCUUUUGUAUACCCAUUCAUUCACUGAUUCAGAGAAAUGAGAACUAUCUCACUGCUUUAAAAAGUACCGACAAUAUAGUCUUUUAAAUUUGAACUGAAGUUUUACCCAUGGAAAGAAGCAAUUUGGCAUGAAUUCUAAGUCAAUUUUUAAAAUUUAGAAACUUUGGAAUGACCCUCAGCUGAGCCCUCAGCUUGACCACGUUCUACCUGUCACCAGGGCUAUUGAUGCUAUCUUCAAAAUCAUUCUUGAGCCCAUGAUUUGUGACCAUUCUCUCUGCCACCACCAGGCUCAGCCCUAUGGUCAACAGCUCACAGCUUGCCCCGUUACUCCAGCCCUUAACUGGGGUCCUUGCCAUAGUUCCCUUCCUCUCUGAUUCAUUCUUCACUCCAACAUUUUGAUUAUGUCAUUAUUAUGCUUGGAAUUCUUCAAUGGCUUCUCAUUGCUUAUUGCAGAACUUCAAAAUCUGGGUAUUGUGUUACACAGUGGAUCACAGGGAGCACUUAGCUUUGGGGGAACAAAGUAGGCUUGGGAAGCAGAAACUCCAGGAGGGCUGCUCACAGAUGCAAUCUUGCCCACUUUGUUGGGUGUGCUGUGUGUAGAUGUAGGUAUAGAUACAAGAUACCUAUUUAUCACUCAUCUAUAUAUCUACAUAUCUAUCUAUCUACCUAUCAAAUCUUAUUUAUUUUCUACUGGGAAAAAUUUCAGGAAGUUCUGGCAAAGUCUGUCUUGUAAGACCCUCUGUACACUGCUCCCUCUGCCCUGACAUUCUCUCAUGGGACUUCUUACCCAACAAACCCUUAACCCAAUUGUCUAAGCAUCUGGGCUUUCUCUUGUCUGUAAGAGAUAGAAACAUUUACAUUCACAUCACAUUUUUGCAGUUUUAUGACUUUGAACUGGAGACCCAGAUGAAAUCUUUACUUUGUCUUUGGCUGGUGACCUUUUACUCAGUGUUUGUGACCCUGCUUGACAUUCCCCUCUCCAAGGCUCUUCCUUGUUUCUGCAAACAGGACUAAUCACUUCCUCCUCUGUGCUCCAUUGCAAGCCAGCCAGGGAAACUUGAGCAAGUUACUGAAAGUCUCUGAGUCUAAUUUCCUCACUUGAAAAAUGGAGAUAAUAAUACCUGCCUUGCAGAGUUAGCAUAAGAAUUAAAUAAAAUACCAUAUAUAAAGCAUUAAACACAGAGCUUAGCAUAUAGUAAGAACUUUGUAAAUAUGUGUUGAAUAAUAAAUGAUGGUUGUUAUUGUUAACUAUCAAACUUUUGGCAGUGCACUUAUCUCAUAUUUGUGCAACGGUUGUGAACUCCUCUUUUAAAGACUUUUUUUCCUAUUUAUCUCAGAACAAUAGAUCCUGCUCUGCUUUGCUAUCAGUUCCACGCAGGCAGGGAUCUUAGGUUUGUCUACAGGUGCCUCCUAAACACCUUGAAUAGUGCCUGGGACAUAGAAG
rnacentral:lncRNA from 1 species